rnacentral:lncRNA from 1 species
UUCAAUAAACUGACAACUUAUCAUUUUUCACAGCCAACUUAAACAUGAAAUCUGCAUUAGGGACACCAAUUGAUUUCAACAAAACCAAUUUGUUAACUAUCACGAACACCUUGACAAAUUUGGCAUCUCAUCAAACCAUGAUUCAUUACUUGAAUCCUGAUCCUGCGAAAUCCCAAACGACUCAAUUGAGUCUACAAAUAGUGAGGCAAAACCCGUAUUGCAAGACUCAUAUCCAUAUUAUACCAAACCUACAGCAAUACCUAAGCUAGUGUAUAUUCAAUAACUAACAUAUCUUGAAUCAGCUAUGUUUAGCAAAGUUUGAACAUAGAUCUUAAAGCAAAAAUAAAUAAUCACAUGGAUAUAUAAAACCUAAACUAGAAGAAACACCAAUCCUAAACUAUUAUGUAAUCCACCAUCACUUGAUCACAUAUUUAGGGGUAGGGGAUAAGAAGCAUAACUCCCUAAAUAAAAAUAGAAACAACUCAAUAAACUACACACAGCCACAAUUACUACUCAAAACUCUAUAACGCCAUUUUGAUUCCAUGCCAAAGCUUUACAUUGAAUGGAAAAUAAAGGCGUGUACCUGAUUACAGCAUUAAACAAAGAAAAUUAUGAGCUUAGGAGACAACAACAGUAAUAAACCAAAACAGUAGAACUCAACAGCAACAAGAACAGUCCCAGAUUCAAUCAAAUACCUAAUGAAAUCAACUCAAACACCAAUGAAACAAUGACCUUGACUCAGAACUCGACCAUAUACUUUAAAAGAAUAACAAGUUCAAGUCAUUUCACACACCCACUAAACCAAAUAUUACCUUAACAAGUUGGAUUUCAAAAUCAGAAAUGGAGCUCAAUGGAACAACGAUUUUCUUCACUUUUAGCCGUUCUCUUUUAUGAGUUUCUUCGCUUUUUUCUUCUUUUUUUUUCCCCUUGAGCCUAAAGUAACAAUGCCUUUAUAGGCAAGUUGCUAAGGCAGCCUUAAGGGUUUAGUUUUGCAAUUGAGCACUUUUGAUAUUUUGGUUUUUGCUUAGAAAUCCCUCAUGUUUUGACUUGCUAACCAAGUUAAUCUAUUUUCAGCUUCUAAGAAGCUUCUUAGGUGGUUACUUGAGAUAUUCCCUUAGUGUUUUACCCAAACCACCCUUAGUUACCCCUGAAAUUUACUCUUAAGUCUUAGAUGGGUUAUGGGUCAAGUUGACCCUAGGCUGACCCAUUAGAAUGAACUCCAUUUUCUCCGGUUUUUUGUUCAAUCACAAUCAAAUCUAGUCCAUUGAAGCCUAAACAAAAUUCAAACCCAAAAUGGUUACAGAUUCGAAGUAAAACCAGAACAAGGGGAAAAAAGAUUUAAAUUAAUCAAGAGAAUGAAAAAAAUCUGAAACUUAAAAUGACUUAAAUAAAAACAAACAUGGAAAAUGAGCAAAACAACCACAAUCAAAGGAGAAAACUAACACAUCACAUCAUGAAUAUCAAAUAACUAAUGAAAGAAAAAGAAAACCUAAACUCAUAGCUUGAGCUUUUCCUAAAUUCAACAAUAGAAAACUAAUUGGGGAGGGGUAGAUGGUAAAACAAUGAAAUUAAAUAGAAAAGGAGAAGAAAACUUACUGAGAUGAUCUGAAAACCAAUAGAGACUAGGGACAUGACCAAGCUAAUAUUGAUCCCUCGUUCUUCGUCAAGAACAAAAGAACAAUAUUAGUUUUUCCAAGUUCGAACUUAUUGAAGAGAAAACGAACCCCAAGGUCAUGCAUGUUAACAGGCUUAACAAAACAGUUUCGAACUUUGGGAGCCAAACCCGGAUUUAAAAUUCGAAGAGUUUCAAGGUGAUUCAAGAGUCACUGACCAUAUAUUAGGGAAGAGGGGGUUAUGGUGACUAUGUAGUGUUAUUUUGGGGGAAAUUGGAGGUGGCGCCACCACCGGAGAAACUGUGGUGGCGCUAGGACUUGGAACUUUGAACGGAGAUUCGAGGGGUUCGGGGUAGAUUUGAGGGAAAGAGUUUGAGGAUUUGGGAUGUGGAGGUGGAGGAAAAUGUGGGGUGUUAAUUUUAGGACGAUUGGAGGCGGUGCCGCCACCCUCAGGCGGUGGGCAUUUAAAGGCGGCUGCUAGGGUACAUGUGAGGUCUUUGAGAGGGGUUCGUGCGAGAGAUGAGAGAUGCGGUGUGGGGGUGUUCGGACGCUAAUAUAUCAAAUGAACCGUAG